AGUGAACGCUGGCGGCGUGCUUAACACAUGCAAGUCGAACGAGAACGGGUUAUAGCUUGCUAUAAUUGUCAGCUAAGUGGCGCACGGGUGAGUAAUGUAUAGGUAAUAUGCCUCUUACUAAGGGAUAACAAAUGGAAACGUUUGCUAAUACCUUAUACUCCUUAUUAACAGAAGUUAAUAAGGGAAAGAUUUAUUGGUAAGAGAUUAGCCUGUAUUGUAUCAGUUAGUUGGUGGGGUAAUGGCUUACCAAGACUAUGACACAUAACUGGUUUGAGAGGAUGAUCAGUCACACUGGAACGGAGACACGGUCCAGACUCCUACGGGAGGCAGCAGUGGGGAAUAUUGCAAAAUGGACGAAAGUCUGAUGCAGCACCGCCGCGUGGAGGAUGACACAUUUCGGAGCGUAAACUCCUUUUAUAUGAGAAGAUAAUGACGGUAUUAUAUGAAUAAGCACCGGCUAACUCCGUGCCAGCCGCCGCCGUAA
rnacentral:rRNA from 1 species